UUAGUAUUAUCUUUUUGUAUAUAUAUUAGGAAACUAAGAUUAUAAAGUUUAAGUGACUAACUCCAGGUCUCAUAAUUUAAAAUGCACAUACUCAGAUUUUAUGCCUCCAAAAUGUGUGCAAAAUAGUAUAUAUGCAUGUACAUAUGUAAAUAUCCCUAUAUUUAUAUGUAAAAAUGCAUGUAUGUUUUGCAGAAGGAGGGACAUAUCAUUCCAUUCAUUUCUAUUCAGUUAUAGCCAUUUAUUGAGCAUAGUCUGUGCUAAGCACUGAGGAUAAAGAAAUAAAAAGUGUCCCUGGCCCAUGAUUACUUUACUGAGUGACUUUAGUGAAUUAUUUUAGCUGGUAACUGAAAAUGAGACAAUGAAAGAAAGUCUGCUCUGGACCUUUCUGUAAGUUCAACCUUCCCGCAUUAGACCAACAAACAAAUAUCUCACUGCUAUCACAAGACCUCUGUGUUACUGACGAGUACUCAUUUAUCACUUUCUUCCUUUCACUACAAACUCUCUCUUGGUCCUGGCAUUGACCCUACCUCUGACUCUCUGUAAAGGGAAUCUGUCUGUCCUUGAGCUCCCCACACCUCCCAGCUAUCACCCAGUUUCUCUAUGGAGGAUCAGAUCAUUUGGGAGACUGUCCCAUGCACAGUAGGAUACUGCACUGCAUCUUUGGCCUCUUCCCACUGAUGGAAGUAGCAACCCCUUCCCCAGUUGUGACAAGCAAAAUAUGUCCAGACAUGCAUAUGGCCCCUGGUCCUUAAGAGGUAAACUGGUUAAGAAUCACUCUUAGAACAUGUACCCUAUGGCUUUUUCAGGCCAGAACUUAGAAAGCUGCUGCUUCUAAACCAUGCCUCUCUAAAUCAACCACCAAGAGCAAUGCACAACCACUCCAGCACUAGUCUGCUGGGGAAGGUGUGGGUUAUAUUCCUUUAAAACCUGUUUUCAGUGCUCUUCCUCAAAAGCACCCAAUUUGCUCUUCCUGGUUCUAAGCUAAUCAUCCAUAGUAUGUCUCCUAAAGAUCUCUCUCUAUUCCCAGAAGAAAUGCUAUUUAUGGGUUAUGGGUUCUUGCAAAGAGUAAAUAGAACAGGCCAAGGAGGGCUUCUAAUAUUUAGAUGUACUGACUGGCCCAGUCCUGACUCUGCUCUCCUCCACCCUCUAUACAAGCAUCAGGUAUGAGACAGUGUGUAACUGAGGGAGUGGCUUCAGCUGAAAAGAUUGGGAGUAAGAAGGAACAGGCUCAUGUCAGGCCCUGAGUUGUGGUGUUCUGGGUCUAAAUCCCGAGUGCAUCCAAGGAGGUUUCAAUCCACCAGGGGCAGGACAAAUGUGAGAAACAAACCAUAGGAAAAUGCCUACAAAGCAAUUAGUUCUGGAUGAACUCUAUGCUGUAGGACCUUUCUGUUAGAAGAGGCAGCCUAUUCAAGCUAACUCUGAGAGAAAAAUUCUAUUGUUAGUUCUCUGUGGUGGGCCAAUUCUUGUUAAAAUUGUGAAAUGGGUUGUACUAGAAGUUUCUAUGAUGGAAACUCUUAUUUGCUUCACUUGGACUAAAAAGGGAACUGACCAGCUCACAUUGCAGGAAGAAAAGGGGGUGGGCAAGAUUCAGUCACAGAGGAAUCCUCAGGUCUUUCCCUCGCUCUCUCUCUUCUUGAUGCCCGUGUUUGUUUCUUUUAAGACAGUCUUUCUCUCCUUGUGGUGAUGGAGGGUCAUCAAUCAGCAUCUAAUUUUCAUUUUUAUAUCAAUUCCCAAAAUGACUCUGACUGGCCCUUCUUGAGUUGCAUCUGCCCCUCCAGACCUACCACUGCAUCACGUCAAGAGUGGGGACGGGUCCACCAGCACUACUUGAUCUUUUUGUUUGUUUGUUUUUUAAGGCCACACCCACAGCUUAUAGAAAUUCUCAGGUUAGGGGUCAAAUUGUAGCUGCAGCUGCAGGCCUAUACCACAGCCGCAGCAACGCAGGAUCCGAGCCACAUCUGUGACCUACAUUGAAGCUCAUGGCAUCUCUUAACCCACUGAGCAUGGAAUGUAUAAAUUUGGAGCCUUAGGCAGACAUAUUUGGAAUCUCCUUUUGUGGCAGAGGAAGGUCAGAGCUCAUCAUACUACCUAACAUAAACAGUUGUCUUAUCUCAGAGAGUCAACAGGUGUCAUUUUAUUCAUUUGAAUUCAUGUCAGAACUUCAGGGUCUCCCUGAGGGGAGUGCUUGCAAAGAAUAGUCACCAAGUCUUAGAAUGCUUCUAGAGAAGCCUGGCAUUUUCCUUAUCCAUUCAGACAAAUAAGAGUUUAAAAAUCUGUUGGGAUCUCAGCAGUAGAGGUCUGAGCUUGGAAGCAGAGCUCUCCCCAAGGCUGGGGUGGCCAAAGUGGUCCCUCAUGGCCCUCACCAGAGGAAAAAUCCCCCGAAUCAAAUCAACAUCGCUGGGCUUUUUCUGUGCUCAGAGUUGGACCAGAGGACCAGCCAAGAGUGAGAAAACAUACUGAACCCCCAAGAGGCCUCGACCCAUCUUUCCUCAUACUCAGAAAAAUAUCACUUUCCUUAUAUAACUCUCACAGCUUCAAUAGAUUAUUUUUUUAGUACUGUGGGUUUUUUUUUUUUUUAAAUAGUAAUUAGACCAGAAGGAUUGUGAAAAGUCUUCUCAAAACCAGAGAUCAUAAAAUUUAGAACAAUGUGUCAGGCUCUAGGCUAAAAUAGACUCUCCAAUAUGUCUUGUUUUCUUGCUGCUACAAAAGAGCUUUGGCCUCUGGGGCUCCAGCCAGGGACUAGUUAAGAACUAACACAGAAGUGAUUACCAAAGGCCUCUCUCCUGAGAAUUUGAGAAGGUCUGUAUCAGCUGUGUUGACCAUGUCUAAUAGAUGUACUUGAGAGGCCAAAAGAAUUGCCUCUCUCUGGUUUCUAUAUUACAUUGGAGAAUACCUGAGGUUCUCAACCAUUGCCACAAGUCGAAUCACCUGGAAAGCUUUCACAAUAGACCUAUGCCCUAACUCUCUCCUCAGAAGUCCUGAUUUAAUUAGUCUCAAGUGGAGCACAGACAUUGCAAUGUAUUAUAAAGUUCCCAGGUGAUUCUACCGCACAGUAAAUGUUGAGAACCUCUGGUAUAUACAAAAAUAAAUAAAUAAAUAAAUAAAUAAACUGUAUUUAUUGAGCUCUUGCUAUAUGUCAAGCAGUGCACUAAAUGAUUUAGAAGUAUUAUCUCAUUCGAGUCUCAAAACAACUCUGCUUGAUAGUUACCAUUAUUAUACUCUUUUUAUAUAUGAAGCAAUUGAAUUUAGAGGGAUUAGUCAUUUAAAUAGCCCUUAAAUUUCAGAAACAAGAAUCUGUAUCUGGUCUUUAUGGCCAGAGAGUCCACAUAUGUAGCAAUCAUGUUAUACUGUUUCCUACUUUAUUCUGCUACCUUCUGAAUAGGAUUAGGGUAACCAAAUCCAGAACAAGAACAAAACAUCGUGUAUGCUACCAAAUGGGAAUAGGGUGGAAAUGUCAAACAGGUUAUGAAAGUUUGCUAAAUCCAAAACAAAUAAAGAUUUGUUUGUUCUACCAGGCCUGACAUGACGUUCUUGUCCUCUUAAGUGCCAUACAUUUUCUUUUGGGGGAAGAAAAUUAUGAUGAUCACAAGAAUGAUAUGGCAAUAAUGUACACAUAUUAGUGCCCUCAUUCAUUCUGUUAGGUACGCAGAAAAAUUCAUUAAGAGAAGAUACACAUACACACAUAAUACAGAGGACCUAAAAGAACCAUAAAAUGAUCUAUGCCAAGUUUUUAAUUUUACAUACGAGGAUACUAGGACUCAGAAAAGUGAAAUGACUUGCUCAAUUUCGUAUAUAUUUGAAGAACCUGACACAAAUUCUCCUGAUUCCUAUUUCAGACCACCCUUCCAUAUCUCUUCAGGAAGAUGGAUCAGUACUACAUAAUACACAACAUGCUAAAAUUUCAUUCCUUCAACCCAUGGCCCUGACAUUGCCAACUGAGCACACAGAAAACAAGAGUCAGAAAAGAGUUGUCAGACAGAUGAUUUUCUAGAGAGAGUCUUGUGGCUGUGUCUUCCAUUCGCUAUACUUGAAAAAAAAGGGAUUUUCCAGAAUGUUUACUUAAAUGAUGAGGCCACUGAAGUCAAAAGUAUUUGGGUUUUACUUUCUCAGUGUUUGCCUAACUGGUUCUACACUAUCCCAUCAGAAUUACUCAGGAUACUCAUAUCAAAAUACAUAAUUGUGACCAUGAACCAGAGCUAACAAAUAAGAACUUCUGGAGGUGAGGCUCACUUUGGAAAAGUACUCAGGUGAUUCUGAUGCACCAGAACAUUUAAGAACCACUGAUUUUAGGCAACCGACCUUUCUGCUACAGAUGGGCUCCCAGAAGGACUAGAAUAAAAUCAGUACCUUUAUGACCAAAGAAAUUUUUUGCUUCCUCAGUUCUGAUUCUUAACUCUCACUUGGAGCCAUGAUAUUCCACUAGGAAAUCCCCAAAACUCUCUAGAUAUACUCUAAACUAGCCUGGAAGCCUAGAUAAAGGGUUCUUAUUCCCCUACCUUUUGCUCUUGGAUGUCGGAACCAACAGAGAAAGGCGACUCGUGUUGUCUGAAUCCCUAGAGCCUCUCAGCUCACUGAUGUUUUUUUCUGCUGCCAAGAGGGCCAUCUGAAGAGGUAGGUGUCAGACACUGGGGCUCAGGUCCAGCCCUGCCCCAUGGUGCUUCUUUCAACCUGUGGCUUCCUAAGAGUGAAACGAGUUCCCAUCAUAGCUCAGUGGAAAUGAAUCUGAGUAGGAACCAUGGGGUUGUGGGUUUGAUCCCUGGCCUUGCUCAGUGGGUUAAGGAUCCAGCAUUGCCAUGAGCUGUGGUGUAGGUCGCAGAUGUGGCUCAGAUCUGGCGUUGCUGUGGCUCUGGCAUAGGCCGGUGGCUUCAGCUCCGAUUAGACCCCUGGCCUGGGAACCUCCAUAUGCCAUGGGUGCAGCCCUAAAAAUG
rnacentral:lncRNA from 1 species